rnacentral:misc_RNA from 1 species
GUGGCAGACCUUCUGCUUGAGUUUGCUGCAGCAGACACAACCGUCAAAUCCUUCAUGUGCAGCCAAAGUUUGCUCAGCCGUCUUUUUCAGAUGUUUAAUAAGAUAGAGCCCCCUAUUCUUCUUAAGCUUUUGAAAUGCAUUAAUCACCUUUCAACAGACCCACACUGCUUAGAACAUCUACAGCGAGCAGAUGCAAUCAAGUAUUUGAUACCCAAUCUUGAUCUCAAAGAGGGUCCCCUUGUGUCCCAAAUUCAUCAUGAGGUUCUAAAUGCAUUGUUCAACCUCUGUAAGAUCAAUAAGAGAAGACAGGAGCAAGCUGCGGAAAAUGGAAUUAUUCCACACUUGAUGCAUUUUAUCAUGACCAGUUCUCCAUUGAAACAAUAUGCAUUGCCUCUUCUAUGUGAUAUGGCUCAUGCAUCACGUAAUUCAAGAGAGCAGCUUCGCGCUCAUGGUGGGCUUGAUGUGUACCUGAGCUUACUUGAAGAUGAACUCUGGUCUGUCACGGCAUUAGAUUCCAUUGCUGUUUGUUUGGCACAUGACAAUGAAAGCAGGAAAGUGGAACAAGCUUUGCUUAAGAAGGAUGCCAUACAGAAAAUGGUCAAGUUCUUCGAAUGUUGUCCAGAACAGCAUUUUCUGCACAUACUGGAGCCUUUCUUGAAAAUUAUCACGAAAUCAUCUCGAAUAAAUACAACUCUGGCUGUCAAUGGAUUAACACCAUUGCUUGUCUCUAGACUUGAUCAUCGAGAUGCUAUAGCUCGACUGAAUUUGCUCAAGUUGAUAAAGGCUGUGUAUGAGCACCAUCCGCGUCCAAAACAGCUUAUUGUGGAGAAUGAUCUACCUCAAAAGCUUCAGAAUUUGAUUGAAGAGCGCAGAGAUGGACAAACUUCAGGUGGCCAAGUUUUGGUCAAACAGAUGGCGACUUCUCUGCUUAAAGCUCUCCACAUAAACACAGUUCUGUAAAUUAUUACUGCUGUAUAUUUCUAUGGUUUCAGGUCUGUAAUUAGUCCUUUUACUUGGUUUACAUUAUUUGCUGUGCUAUGGGUGUUUUCUAGGCCCCCUCUUUCCCAUGUAAUUAAUAUAUCCUUUGGUGUGUCUGAAAGUGAAAUGCUUGUAUCAAAUUUGUGAAUUUUCUUUAUGGAGUUAUGGACUAAAUGAGCAGUUUUA